rnacentral:lncRNA from 1 species
AAUUAAUGUGUUCCCGAGUUCCCAGGAGGUGAAAGGAUUACAGUGGGAAGGGGGAGGCCUGGUGCAGGGAAUGACCAGGAGAGACCAGGUCGCAAGGCUCUGCUUAAGAACUGAGCAGAAAUAGUUGGCCAGGAACACUGGUGAGAGAGACCAGAGUAAAUGUCAGUGUAGCUGGGGACCAGAGCUAGGAUGCCACGCUUUGCCACCACAGCUACAGGGCCAGCAUUCGGAGCGGUUACUUUUACAAUUCCAGCUUUUUGUUAUUUUUCCUUUUAACUUUAAAAAACUUACAAAUCUAAACUUUACCUUUUUUUUUUAUUUGAAUGUAAUUUAGAUAUCACUAGCUUAAAAUAAAAAGGUUUCCAGACUACUUCUUUGCCAUAGAUAAUCCCUGACAAACCAUGGCACUCUGUGUUGGAAGCCUAUCAACAGUUGUGUUACUCAGCCAUAACCUUCUCCUGCUUCAGCCUUCCUGCUUGACUCUGAAGGGGUGCAUGAACUUUCAAAUGCAGCUGGCAUCUGCACUAUGGCCUUCCAGUAUUAGAUGGGUCCCACUGCAGCCAGACACCUGUGGGUUUGACCCUCAUUAAUCACAAACCCCAGUGUUUGGACAGUUACCAUAACUUAAAAAUCACUCUAAGAAAAACCGCUGUGUUUCUUUCUCACUGCCACAUCAGGUCCCUUUUCAAGAAAGCACAGUGAAGACAGGGACUGCCAGAGUAGAGAUGGGUGACCAUGGGGUUCUGUCCUGGGAAGGGAGGGCUGGGUUUUGCUGGCUGUGUAUUUAUACUGUAUGAUAGAUCCCACACUUUUAUUGUCUAUCUAUUUUGACUUUAAUGCUUAUGACAUUUUCUCGUGCCAAAAUUUGUUUAUAUUUUUCAAGUUAAAUUAAACUGAUUUGGGUAACUUUCCUUCCCCUACAAAGUAUUUCCCCCCUGACUUACGUCUAUUUUGGCUGUUGAGAGUGGCAUUUGCAGGACUAACUAACCUCCAAGAGCUGCUCCUUACAUUCGAGGUAGGCAUGACAUGAAGUAGCUCCCAGCCACCCACUUGAAAUCUCUCACCCUUACAUUUGCUUUGUACUGAGACAUCUCUUAUUUUAAGUAGACAAAACAUAGAAAACCUCGAUUGUCCCAGAUUCUUUCUGCCUUCUCUCUGGCUGUCACAGGCGUGCAUCUACAACUGUCCUUUAAAUGCCCUCCUACUUCUCCAAGAGGGUAAGUGCUUGACUGACUUACAGAAAGAAAGGUGACUUGACCAGGUUUGCUUGUCAACAUCAGUGACAAAGGCAUCAGUCAGUUGGAGCAAUCAGAAACCGCAUUUGUCCUCUGUCUGGAGGUCAGUGAAAAGAGGCACAAGUCCCUGAAAGUACAAGUUUAGUGGAAGCCAGGACACACUCAUUAAGGACCAAAGUGUGGGGUUUUCACAGGCUCGAUAGCAAGAGCUACUGUACGUCCAGAACAGCAGGACUCUUAAGUUCAUCCAGGACCAGUCUUGAAGCUGCUCUCAGAGGAAUGAGCUCAUCAGUUUGGGAGGAGACCCAGAGUGCAUAUUUCCAGCACAGUGAGCUCCCUGGGCACUUCUCGUCAGGUCUGCAGUCUGCUUUAGUAAACUGUAAGUGUGCAGUUGCAGCCUUACAUGGUGACCUACACGGUGGCUGACAGCAGUCAGGGAAAGGCCUCAGCCGUGAUGCCUGUUGACCUCUUGCAGAAGCAGAGCAAAGCACUCUUCAUGCCCUUAGUCUGAAAAUGUAUUUGGUCAAGAUGACUUUUCCCAUUCCUGGCCCCUCUAAAGCCUCACACAGAAAGACAAAGCCACGCUGCACGCUUGUUCCCUUUAAAAUCAUGAGCCACAGGUAUGCGUGCAUGGAGGUUCUUCCUGCCUUUACAGUUCUCUCUGCUGGUGGGAGGAGUCCAGUCUUUAACAUAACCCAGUGCCCUGCUAGGGGGAAAAAGCCUGUGUUCUAGAGAGAAAGAAACAUGCCCAAUAUCCACAGUUAGUACUCAGAACCAGGGUCCAACUUUGGCCUGCCUCAUGGUGGCUAUGUGAUAUUUAAGAAAGGUAGGGUUUUUAAAGAAGUAUUUAUUAAUAUAUUCCUAUAUAACAUUUUAAAGGAAGCCACAUAAAAAUAGUUAAUUUUUUCCUUCUAAGUAAAUGCUAAGCAUGCUUAUUAACGAAGCAGUACCGAUGAGUAUGUGGCAUUCUGAAGCUAAUUGAAAUCAUUCUAUUAAAUGUCUUCCUUGGUGUCAUGGGAGAUAGGGACACAGAAUGUUUGCAUAAGCCCAGGAACCCAUCUUCCAUGAUGUGAGACAAGAGCCUCAGCCAGGUCUACACUCUGCAUGUGAGAGCAUCCUCUCCUAGCACGUGGAAGGAACUGGAAACAUCCCGACUGUGGCCUUCCCAGCCCCACCCCUCCUCUCCUACCUGCCCUCCCUGCUGUUCCAGAAGCCCCUUGCAGACACAGAAGCUGUGUUUGUGUGUUUGGUUUUAAGUAACCCUAAUACAGAUUUAUGCUGUUUUCAGCAAACUGGGAUUUGGGGCUGGUGGGGUCUUUAAGUUUAGCACAUAAAGUGCCUGCUGUUUCAGCACCGACCUGAGCAUAAUCUGCAUGUCUGUCUCCAGUGAGCGUACGGGUCUCCUCCUUUUCAGCCCCACGGCUUUUAAUUGUGUGGUGUGAAGCAUUAGUUUUGCUGCGUUUUAUUACAGGUUCUUGGUUGCAAUAAAGAUGCUGCUGAAAUCAA